CACAUACUCCCUCUGUCCGAAAAUACUUGUUCGAGAAAUGGAUGUAUCUAGAUGUAUUUUAGUUCUAGAUACAUCUAUUUUCAUUCAUUUUUGCAACAAGUAGUUCCGUAUGGAGGGAGUACAUA
rnacentral:pre_miRNA from 1 species